GACGAACGCUGGCGGCGUGCUUAACACAUGCAAGUCGAACGGAAAGGCCCCUUUGGGGGUACUCGAGUGGCGAACGGGUGCGUAACACGUGAGUAACCUGCCCUUGACUUCGGGAUAACUUCAGGAAACUGGGGCUAAUACCGGAUAGGAAUCCUUGCUGCAUGGUGGGGGUUGGAAAGCUUCGGCGGUUUUGGAUGGACUCGCGGCUUAUCAGCUUGUUGGUGGGGUAGUGGCUUACCAAGGCUUUGACGGGUAGCCGGCCUGAGAGGGCGACCGGCCACAUUGGGACUGAGAUACGGCCCAGACUCCUACGGGAGGCAGCAGUGGGGAAUAUUGCACAAUGGGCGGAAGCCGGAUGCAGCAACGCCGCGGGCGGGAGGACGGCCUUCGGGUUGUAAACCGCUUUCAGCAGGGGCGAAGCUUGUGGUGACGGUACCUGCAGAAGAAGCACCGGCUAACUACGUG
rnacentral:rRNA from 1 species